AAGGGUCCUAGGCGGGGGCUGCGCCCAACGAACGGAUUGACGUGACGUGCGAGGUGUGUCCUAGGCCCGGGGGUUCGAAUCCCCCGGCCCCCUCC
rnacentral:tRNA from 1 species